rnacentral:rRNA from 1 species
AUACGUAGGGGACAAGCGUUGUCCGGAAUGACUGGGCGUAAAGGGCGCGUAGGCGGCGCUUCAAGUCGUCUGUCAAAUGGGAGGGCUUAACCCUUUUUCGCAGACGAAACUGGAGAGCUUGAGAAGCAGAGAGGCAAACAGAAUUCCUGGUGUAGCGGUGAAAUGCGUAGAUAUCAGGAAGAAUACCAGUGGCGAAGGCGGUUUGCUGGCUGCAUACUGACGCUGAAGCGCGAAAGCCAGGGGAGCAAACGGGAUUAGAUACCCCGGUAGUCCUGGCAGUAAACGAUGUAUGCUGGGUGUGAGACUAGCGAUAGUUUCGUGCCGAAGUUAACGCGAUAAGCAUACCGCCUGGGGAGUACGGUCGCAAGAUUGAAACUCAAAUGAAUUGGCGGGG